CAGUAGCCGCGGUAAUACGUAGGGUGCGAGCGUUAAUCGGAAUUACUGGGCGUAAAGCGUGCGCAGGCGGUUAUAUAAGACAGAUGUGAAAUCCCCGGGCUCAACCUGGGACCUGCAUUUGUGACUGUAUAGCUAGAGUACGGUAGAGGGGGAUGGAAUUCCGCGUGUAGCAGUGAAAUGCGUAGAUAUGCGGAGGAACACCGAUGGCGAAGGCAAUCCCCUGGACCUGUACUGACGCUCAUGCACGAAAGCGUGGGGAGCAAACAGGAUUAGAUACCCGUGUAGUCCCUGUCUCUUAUAA
rnacentral:rRNA from 1 species